GGAGCGCAGGUCAGAUGGCAUAUCAGUUCUCCUGUGGUGCCGGUCUUGAAAACCGUCGUGGCGCGAGUCACCGUGGGUUCAAAUCCCACACCCACCGCCA
rnacentral:tRNA from 1 species